rnacentral:rRNA from 1 species
CCUACGGGGUGCAGCAGUGGGGAAUAUUGCACAAUGGGGGAAACCCUGAUGCAGCGACGCCGCGUGAGUGAAGAAGUAUCUCGGUAUGUAAAGCUCUAUCAGCAGGGAAGAAAAUGACGGUACCUGAAUAAGAAGCCCCGGCUAACUACGUGCCAGCAGCCGCGGUAAUACGUAGGGGGCAAGCGUUAUCCGGUUUUACUGGGUGGAAAGGGAGCGUAGACGGCGCUGCAAGUCCGGAGGGAAAGCCCAGGGCUUAACCAUGGUACUGCUCUGGAAACUGUGGAGCUUGAGUGCGGGAGGGGCAGGCGGAAUUCCUAGUGUAGCGGUGAAAUGCGUAGAUAUUAGGAGGAACACCGGCGGCGAAGGCGGCCUGCUGGACCGUAACUGACGUUGAGGCUCGAAAGCGUGGGGAGCAAACAGGAUUAGAUACCCCAGUAGUC